AUUGAACGCUGGCGGCAGGCCUAACACAUGCAAGUCGAACGGUAGCACAGAGAGCUUGCUCUCGGGUGACGAGUGGCGGACGGGUGAGUAAUGUCUGGGAAACUGCCCGAUGGAGGGGGAUAACUACUGGAAACGGUAGCUAAUACCGCAUAACGUCGCAAGACCAAAGUGGGGGACCUUCGGGCCUCACACCAUCGGAUGUGCCCAGAUGGGAUUAGCUAGUAGGUGGGGUAAUGGCUCACCUAGGCGACGAUCCCUAGCUGGUCGGAGAGGAAGACCGGCCAAAAUGGAACUGAGACACGGGCCAGAAUCCUACGGGAGGGAGCAGUGGGGAAUAAUGCACAAUGGGCGGAAGCCUGAUGUAGCCAUGCCGCGUGUAUGAAGAAGGCCUUCGGGUUGUAAAGUACUUUCAGCGGGGAGGAAGGCGGUGGAGUUAAUAACUUCACCGAUUGACGUUACCCGCAGAAGAAGCACCGGCUAACUCCGUGCCAGCAGCCGCGGUAA
rnacentral:rRNA from 1 species